ensembl:snoRNA SNORA74 Small nucleolar RNA SNORA74
UCCAGUGGUGGUUUGAUGCCUGUGAUGGUGUUACACUGCUGGAAGAGCGAGCAGUCUUCACUGAGGUCCGGCCCGAGCACUGGUACUGUGGGCAAGAACCCUUGGGCGGUGUCUUGUGCCUUUGAGAAUAGAAUGACUCCUCCUGUGGAGCUGGUCCUAGUGGGGUGCAAACAAC